CGUCCGGCCACCAAUCGGCGAGCCCAGGGUGACGGUCGACUCCUCUCUUCCUCUCCUAUACGCCUGUGGUCGUGGGUCGUCGUGAUUUGGCCGGAGAAGCUCGAAUUCAAGCCAAGAAGAUUACUGUAGCACUUUGUUAUUUCCGGCGAUAUCUUCCGAUUCCGGCCGCCUCCGGCCACCAAACCGGCGUCGAAGGUGCGGUUUUCUCCAAGGAUCAUUUUCCCCCUAGCCUUGAGCCACGAUUUGCAGUGUAGAGGGGGAAUCAAGGAGAAACCCAAUUCUAGGGUUUUGAAAUUUUCUGGAAAUUUUUCACCGGCCGAAUUGGAGCUCUUCAAGGGUGACGCACCGAGCGAUUGCUCGACGAAGGAACUCGUAUGCGUGAUCACCUGAAUAGUACUUUUGCAGGCGAAAUUAGUUGAGGUCGGGCGUACAUGGAAUUGAGGCAUAGUCAACAGCAUGGCUUCCGCGUUUGCCUUUGAAUUAGGUUUUCCUUGUUUACCUUUCUAUUAGAAUUGCUCUGAUUACCUGUGGAAUUAAUGUUAUUCAAGUUGCGUUUUGGUGUUAUGUGAAUUGGACGAUGUUGUGAUUUGGGGAGCAGAUGGCUCCAGGAGAAUAAGGAUGGAUGAUUUAGAAGUGUAAAUGUUUCCUACAGGUUUUGGGUAGCCUACUUUUAGGGGAAGUUCCGCCAAAUUUUCGGUAGAAUUUCUUCUAAAGUGGGCCCCGCAGGGCCACUUCGGAUUUCGGGGUGAAAUCCGGGGCAGGUC